rnacentral:rRNA from 1 species
AACGAACGCUGGCGGCAUGCCUAACACAUGCAAGUCGAACGAGAUCUUCGGGUCUAGUGGCGCACGGGUGCGUAACGCGUGGGAAUCUGCCCUUUGGUUCGGAAUAACAGUUGGAAACGACUGCUAAUAUCGGAUGAUGACGAAAGUCCAAGGAUUUAUCGCCAGAGGAUGAGCCCGCGUAGGAUUAGCUAGUUGGUGUGGUAAAGGCGCACCAAGGCGACGAUCCUUAGCUGGUCUGAGAGGAUGAUCAGCCACACUGGGACUGAGACACGGCCCAGACUCCUACGGGAGGCAGCAGUGGGGAAUAUUGGACAAUGGGCGAAAGCCUGACCCAGCAAUGCCGCGUGAGUGAUGAAGGCCUUAGGGUUGUAAAGCUCUUUUACCCGGGAUGAUAAUGACAGUACCGGGAGAAUAAGCUCCGGCUAACUCCGUGCCAGCAGCCGCCGUAA